rnacentral:ncRNA from 2 species
UAAUUUUGGUGGGGGUGCCCCGGCAGGGGGCUGAGAGGAGCUUGCGGCUCCAACCCUUUGAACCUGAUAUGGUUAAUGCCAUCGUAGGGAAGCCUCUGUAGUGUUUG